rnacentral:rRNA from 1 species
UACGUAGGGAGCGAGCGUUGUCCGGAAUUACUGGGUGUAAAGGGAGCGUAGGCGGGCGAGAAAGUUGAAUGUUAAAUCUACCGGCUUAACUGGUAGCUGCGUUCAAAACUUCUUGUCUUGAGUGAAGUAGAGGCAGGCGGAAUUCCUAGUGUAGCGGUGAAAUGCGUAGAUAUUAGGAGGAACACCAGUGGCGAAGGCGGCUUGCUGGACGAUGACUGACGUUGAGGCUCGAAAGCGUGGGGAGCAAACAGG